UACGUAGGGUGCAAGCGUUGUCCGGAAUUAUUGGGCGUAAAGAGCUCGUAGGCGGUUUGUUGCGUCGGCUGUGAAAUCCCGAGGCUCAACCUCGGGUCUGCAGUCGAUACGAGCAAACUAGAGUGUUGCAGGGGAGACUGGGAAUUCCUGGUGUAGCGGUGAAAUGCGCAGAUAUCAGGAGGAACACCGGUGGCGAAGGCGGGUCUCUGGGCAACAACUGACGCUGAGGAGCGAAAAGCGUGAGGAGCGAAACAGG
rnacentral:rRNA from 1 species